UUUGCCCCUCCGGAGGAGCCGGAGAGGAUCGCCCACGCGAUCCUCUGUUCCGGCUCCUUCCCCAAAUGAAUCGGGGCUGAAGUCGGCGAGGGCUGCCGACUUCAGCCCCGUGUCUCACACUAAUACAAAGAUGUGGGUGCUCAUUAGAGGAAUGAGUUCACUGAAUUGACCUACAAAGAGAAAUCUUAUGAAGUCUUACUUACAUGUCAAAAGAUGAUUCUCUUAGUGGGAGUUGUGCAACUGAUCCUAUGACCUGAGAUCACCAUGGUAUCUUGUGCACAUGAACCCAUAUUUUGGUUUACACUCAUUCAUGACAAUAAGUUUUGUACGAGGUCUUCUGGAUAUGGUGAAUUGUAUACGAAGAUUAUGAGUAGGUCAACAAGGAAUUAAUCACUUCUAGUAAGAGAAGAUAGCAUCCUAUUUAUUCUAAUCAUAUGAUAAUUCAGGAAACCUUUGAUCAAAGUAGAAUGAAAAUUAGAAAGAGUUUCUAAUGUUUCAUUAUUUGAAUUAUCAUUAAAAGAUUGAGAAAAAUAUGAAUAUGAAAUUGAGUUUGACAUAUAUUCAUACUCAUAUGCAUUUUUGGGAUGCAGUUUGAUUAAAAGAUUGAAUUGCAUGGUAACUUGCCACUGAAGGAUAUUUUUGGU
rnacentral:lncRNA from 1 species